rnacentral:lncRNA from 1 species
GAAUACUGACUUUCUUGCGCUCAUUCAUAGAUAUGAUUAGGGUUAGGGAUGUAGGGUUAGUAGGAUCCAGUGGGUUCUGGAGUUUUCUCCUACACAACAUCAAUUGAGGAUCACUCAGCGAGGUGAUGCUUCCAACACAAUAGUGAAAUUGAGUUUCAGCGGUACAAUGGAAAACAAUGAAAUUUAGAUGUAUUGCAACAGUUUAAAGUUGGACAUGGAGUGCUGGUUUAGCGGUGGGACUCUAGAUUCAACAAGAGAGAGGAUAAAAAGCAUCGAGUUAGCUUUUGCAAGACGAUCUUCCUGCUGUAACCAAUGAUGCCCCAUAUGAUAACAAUAUAAUGUUACAGAUAACAUAAUACAGUCAUAUAUGGGUAUGUGAAAGUGCCUUUCAUUGUUUCUUGAUAGUACUUUAGUAGCUAAUUUGGUUUCAAAAGCCGCAUGGCUCUUUGAGGCGUUUAGUCCCCGAAGCCAAGGUGAGGCUUUUAUUUUGUACAACUAAAAGUGAAUCCAUCUCAUUUAUUUUACAUAUUGAAAGUAUUAGGGGUUUAGAACUUCAA